GGUCGUCCACGGGUCGCCCUCAUGUCCAACGAAAAUUCCCGCAAACUUGGCGGGCAAAACGGGCCGGACGAAAAGGGUAAAUGGGGUUGGGGUUGUAUACCCUGCCUGCAAAAAAUGCGGGCUAUGCAGGUGCGCCCUCGGGCAAUGCCCGUUUUGCCAUCUCUAGACUCGUCAAAUAGAAAAGCUAAUCUUUCCAUCAAACUUCUCAAUGUCAAAUUUUGUAGACAUUUUGAAAUUCCCAAUUGCGUAAGAGCUCUGAUACAACUUGUUAGGAAUAGAGCACAAUAGGGAAGCACAAGAUCAG
rnacentral:lncRNA from 1 species